AUGAACGAGAAGUUACUAUCACCGAUCACGGAUGAGGAGAUUGAAUUAGCGCUUUUUCAGAUGGGGCCAACUAAGGCCCCGGGGCCAGAUGGACUGCCGGCGCUCUUUUACCAGCGACACUGGUCGCUUGUUCGGGCUGACGUGUGUAGGGCGGUGAAGGAUUUUCUACAUGGGGUGGCAGCGCCGGAUGCUUUCAACGCAACGAUCAUUGUUAUGAUUCCAAAGUGUAACUCACCGGAGCUACUAUCCCAGUUUCGUCCAAUUAGUCUAUGCAAUGUUCUCUAUAAGAUUGCGACGAAGGUGCUAGCAAACAGAUUAAAAGGCAUACUACCUAUUCUUAUAUGAUAGGAGCAAAGUGCUUUCGUGCCGGGAAGACUGAUCACGGAUAAUGUUCUUGUUGCUUAUGAAUGUGUUCAUGCGAUCAGGAAGAGGAAGAGGAAGAACCCUUUGUGUGCGGUGAAGCUGGACAUGAUGAAGGCGUAUGACCAUGUAGAGUGGGUUUUUCUGCAGCAAAUGAUGGAACGGAUAGGCUUUGCAAAUGACUGGAUCUUGAUGAUAAUGAGAUGCGUGAAGUCGGCAACUUUCUCUGUCAAGCUCAACGGAGAUUUAUCACGUGGUUUUUCCCCAUCCAGGGGGCUCAGACAGGGCGACCCUCUCUCUCCUUAUCUGUUCCUAUUUUGCGUUGAAGGCUUUUCGGCACUACUCAAACAUGCACAGCAGGAGAGGGAGGUCAAGGGCGUGACUUUCGGGAGCACUGGCCCCCAUGUCACACAUCUAUUUUUCGCGGAUGACAGUAUAGUUUUCUUAGAGGGGACACGGAGCAACAUGCAUAAGCUGAAAGAAAUCUUGAGGCAAUAUGAGGAGGCAUCGGGCCAGCGUGUCAACUUAGAGAAGUCGUCGAUCUUCUUCGGGAAAGGGCAGCAAGAGGAGGACAAGCAGGAGUUGAAGGACACCUUGGGCGUCCAGUCGGAAGCGUUAAGUGAGAAGUAUCUCGGUCUCCCAACACUGGUUGGGAGAUCCAAAGACGGAACCUUCAAAUAUGUGACUGAAAGUGCGAAGGGCAAAGUGAAUGGAGUGAAGGGGCAAGGCUUGUCAAAGGCAGCAAGGGAAGUGUUGAUCAAAUCAGGGCUGCAAGCUGUACCAACAUUCACCAUGAGUUGUUUCCAGCUCACGAAGAAAAUAUGCCGGAACCUAACAUCAAUUUCUUCUAAAUUCUGGUGGGCGGCAACACAUGGUGAACACAAGGUACAC
rnacentral:rRNA from 1 species